UUGAAAGGGAAACGAUUGAAGUCAGUCGUACCGACGAGAAAUCAGCUCUUCGAGUGCGAACUUGUGGGCGUGCGUGAGUCUUUAACGGGCCUCGCUGUUUGCAAUUUUGUGCUUUUUGGGUGUACUUUUUCGUAUGGUAGGCCAACGUCAGUUUCGAUCACCGUAAAAUGAUCGGAGGAAUGUAGCUUCGAUCUCGUAUUGAAGUGUUAUAGCCUCUGGUAGAUGCGGUGACCGAAACUGAGGAUUGCAACGAAUACCCUUUUGGGCUAUCCGUCUGGCCUCUGAAAGUUGCUUAGGUGCCGAAAGCGUGCUUACGGCUAUUUAAGUUGACGGUCAACAGGUUAGAACGUGGUUACCUUCGUUAAGGAUGUUGACGUA
rnacentral:rRNA from 1 species